GUUAUAUAAUAAAGUCUGGGGCACUCGAAAUUCCUGUUUACAGCAUCAUCAAAGUUUUAUUGCUAAUUAUAAAACACACAUCGAGAUAGGUAAGAACAUCGCAGCUUCCUAUCCUCUGAACAUUCCUGCUUUCUACUUGCGCAGGCCUUUGAAAUAGCUUUUUGGGUCUCGUUCAAAGUCAGCCCUGCGAAUGCGAUGAUCCCUUCCAGGAGCUUUCAUUGUCUUCCCAGGAGCUUUCAUUGUCUUCACAGGAUCAGGUUCUGGGCUUGAGAAGAGAGCGCUGCCAAUACCCCAGGCCAUAAGAGCUGCUCCUGCCACAGCACCAAUACAAAAGGCUAUUCCAGUUCCAUCGAUGCCUUCAUCUUCUGUUUCAGUCUUAGAACUUGCUGCACCUUUACCGCUAUUCAUUGCUCUGCAAGAGUUGAUUCUGUCCCUAUGUUUCUUUGAUUUCUAUUUGCAGGUUGCAUGGCAAUACAAGAGAGUGGAGGACUGCUUAUAUAGUACUGCAUCGUAGGAAACGGAGUCCUUUGUAUUUGAUAAGUAUGGGAAGCCAGCGCAUCACCUUUUGCUUUUGCAAACGUAAUGUGAGAAAUUGUUUUUUGUUACUUGGCGCCUAAGCUAUAACUUUGUUUAUUUUUUUGUUUUAAAAGUUUUUUAAAAAAGUUUAAAUUUUUUUAUUUUAAAUUAAUAUAUUUUUUAUUUUUAAAUUAUUUUAAUGUGCUGAUAUAAAAAAUAAUUUUAAAAAAAUAAAAAAUAUAUAUUUUGUAGAUAUAUUUUUAAAUGAAAAACAUUUUGAAAAAUAACUACAACCACAUUCCCAAACAAACCCUCAAAAAAUUUUUUUAUGAUUUAAUUAAUCUCAAUUUAAUUAGUCAAUUUUUUUUUAUGUUAGUGGGUAUAGUGAAAAUAACUUUAAGACUUGAAAAUCACUAUCUUUAAGUAUUUAUUGCUUUUAUUAUAUUUAAUGUGAAAGUUAAAAUAAUAUACCUUUAAGAUAUAACAAAAUCUUAACUUUAUAAAUAACAAUUUCUAUAAGUUUCUUAAGAAUUUUUAUUUUAUUUAUGGUAAACAUAAACAAAGAGUUUGUAAAAAAAAAAAAAAAAAAUAUUUUCUAAUUAAUUUAUGUUACUACAAACUGUUAUUUAUAAGUAACACUCUUUUGUAUCGAUUUUUCUAUAAAAUUUAAAGACAAGUUUCUUUAUAGUAUAUGUAGAAUUUAAGGACAUAACUAUUUAUACCAAUAUGUCUGUGAAUUUUAAAUUGCAACUUUUCUGCAAAUUAACUAAAUAACUUCGUAGAAGGUAUCAUACAUAAUUAAUUAUUUCUGAAAACUAGUUAAUUAACUUAAAUUAAUUAAAUCAAAAAGAAAAGCCAAAUGCAUCCUAUAUUUUGACUUUUCCUCCAACUUUAAAAUAUACUGAUUUGAUAUCCCUUAUAUCAUAAGAUAUAAAAAAAUUUCAUACUCAUCUUGAUCCUGGUAUAUUUUUUUAACAUCGUAGUAAUUUUAUAAAAAAUAAAUUAAAAUAAAUUAUGAAAUUUAAUUCAUAAUAAUUAUAUUUUUUUAAUUAUUUUUUAUUUAACAAUAUAAUAAAUUAUUUUUUAUUUAAUAAUAUGAUAGAAAAAAUAAACAAUUGUAAAAUUGAGUAUCAAUCUAAGAAAUAUUUAAAAAUCAUGAUAAUCCCUGUAAAAAGUAAAAUAAAUAACAAAGUUAAAUUUUCAAUAAAUUAAUUCAAUAUAUAUAUAUAUAUAUAUAUAUAUAUAUAUAUAUAUAUAUAUAUAUAUAUAUAUAUCCACUCCUCGGUUGGCUCUUGUUAAUAACUAUGGGAAAGAAAGACUCCUUCAUAUCUAAGUAAGUACUGUGGAAAUCAGCUCGUCACCUCUUGCUUUUGCAAAAGCAAUGGGUGGCGCCAAAAGCCGAUAUUGACCCCGUAAUUUCUUACUUUCUACGUCGCUGUGUUUCUUUAUAGUACCGCACUGGUUGGCACUGAAGCUGGCCAUCAUCUUCUUAAAGGAACUUUCAUGGCACUGUAGCCUCGUCAUAGGUUGAUUCAAGGUUGUCAUUUUCAUUUUGACAGGUAUUUUGUUUUUUCAAUUGGAAUGAAAUAUUUCAUCGUUUCGAAGUUGUACUGUUCAUCUAUAUAUAUAUAUAUAUUCAGUAAAUAUAAUUCAAAUUCAAGAUAAAUUAUCCAUUACAAAAUACAAACACAAUAUCAAGUAAUAUAAUUUUAAAAUUUAAAAUAUUCCUAAAUAGUCAAGAUUAAAAAAAAAAUUUCUUUUAUCUAACAUCAUAUUCCACAUCACCUAAGUCCUAAAUAGUGGAUUCAUUUUAGUAAGCUAUCUCUUAAUUUGAUUUAUCAAAAAAAUAUAUAUACUAAUGUAGAAAUCAAAGCCAUUUAUCAUAAAAGACAACUUUCUAAAGUGUUUUGUCCUUUGAAUUUAUGGCAAACCUAAAACUAUUAACAUUCCAGCAGUGUAAGUUAACAAAACUAAGUUCAUGCUUUUUUCAUUUUAGCUCUACAGACCGCAGAGACAAUUAUUUGAGAAGGGAAUGGAUGGCCACAAAGCGAGAUUUAAUGAGUCUUCUAGUUCUUUGCCAGGUUGCAAGGGGCUCCUUCUCUUUUAUGUUGAUUGAGCCGUUUUGAUUGAAAAGUCAGGUUGCAGCCUUGCAGGAGCAGCAGUGCAGUUAUUGCAGCAUGUAAGAUCAAGACAGCAACAAAGAAGAGAAAUUAGGGAUUUGGUAUUUUUGGUUUAGUUUACUUUAGACAUCAGAGAAAAAUAGCGUGGGUGUACUGUGCAGUUAAUGAAAAUGAACCGGGUUUAAUUUAAAGUCUUUGACUCGAUGGCUUUAACCCGAAACGGAACACAUGAAAUUCGGUUGGAACGUUCCGGCCGAAAUUUGACCGGAAUUUCCGGAUCAACCCGAGAUUUUAAGCGAGGUGAAACUUGUUUCGUUUUGUUUUUUUAACUGGUACGAGAUGUUUCGGGCAUUUCAACCGAAACGAAACGGUAUUAACAAUUUUGGGUUGAACAUCCCAAGCUCUCAAAUACAUGAGAGAAAAACAAGAAUAUUUAAAGGGGAAAGAGAGUGGAGUUACUGCAGUGGAUAAUUCCCAUCCUCACGCUACAGUGAGAUCAAAAGGUUUUUACAUGUAAAAAAAUAAUAUCAUGAUGGGAAAAAAAAUGACACUGUUAUGCCUUAACUAGCGAGUUAGACAGAAAAUAGAAAAAAUAAAAAUAAAUUAGAUCGAUAAAAAUAAAAUUGUAAAAAAAAAUAAUGUUUCUUUAUUAUUUUUACUAAAUUUAAUGUCUUGAUAUCAAAAUAAAAACAAAAAUAAAAAUAAUUAAUUUUUUAAAUAUAUUUUUAAAGAAAAAGCUACUUUUGAAAAUCUUAAGAAAAGGAUUCGAGAUGGCAGUUUUCUUGGAUACCAACAAUCAACCAUCUUAUUUGGGGAUCUAAAGAAUACUAGAUGUUGACCUUUUGUAGCAACGGACAUUUAUAUGAUUUGGGGCAAGGGUACUGGCCCAUGGUGCCCUCCUAAACCCCGGACCUUCUCCGACGGGAUUAAGAGCCCAAUACCCAGCUACUAGAAAACAGCAAUACACCGGGCCAGGCCCACCUCAUCAACUUCAUAGAUCAUAUCCAUGCUCAAGCUCAAACUAUAAAGGACCCAUUUGUUAGGCGAAAAAACCUACACCUGAGUCACCUUCUCCGAGUGUAAGCACACGACCUCAGCCCCAAGAUGAGAGAUCACAGCCUUGAUAUCAUAUCUUAAGCACAUUUAAUUUAAACAUCAAAUACAGUAAGUUUGGUGUUUAUAAAAUUGUAUAUGCAUAUUAUAUUAACACACCACCCUAUUGGUCCAACUAAUUAAUUUGUUCACGGAAGAUUAUGCAUACCAUCUGUGGCCAAGCCCCGCUAUUUCCUUGAGUAGAAUAUAAUUGUAGCUUUAGAGCAAAACCCAAUCUUAUUAUGCCGACUGAAUUGAUCCAUCAAAUUACUUAUUCUAGUUGAUUGAUUGCUUCUUAACUGGUAGAUCAGUUUUCUUUUAUUUUUUCUUUUUAUUUUUUUUUUUUCAAAACUGAAGUCUAAUUUAUCUUCAACGUUGUUUAGCAUCUUGUAAAGGGCAUUCAUAGCUUUCUUUCCGAGCCUGAGUAUAUGCUUUCAUUUGAUUCAAUAGAACGACAAGCACUCGAACAAGGUGUGUAAGGCAUGAUAGAUCAUAAAUAAUAUCUGCACAGAAUUGUAAGUAAAUAAAUUAGGACAAAGGGUAAUGGAUUCAGCAAGAGAUCGAGGCAAUAAAGCAAAACACAGACAGGAGUAUUUGCACCGAUAAUUAUUAGCUAAAAUUCCUUAUUUUAAUGGUAUAAAACUUUGACAAUUAACCAUAGACACUGGAAGAAAACAAAAAAUGAAAACUAUGCCACUCCAGAUAUUAUCCUACAAGCACACAUGCAAUAUAAUGAAAGGGUUGAAAGGACUUCUUACCCCGUCUAAUUAACUUAACAAAGUUAGUGAGGGUGGUUGAAGCUUGCUCGAGAGAAAAAAUGCAAGACUUUUGUCAACUUUGAAAAGUAAGCCUAUGCAUGUCCCAGGGCUCCUCUUUAAUUCAUCUUCUAAUAUUCGAUCCAAGGUAAACAAUGUUUUACUUUGCAAAACUGCAUCAUGAGCUUGAUUCAUGAGUUCAUAAUGCAUCGAUGUUCUGUGAACAAAUGAUGGAGCUCUAGCAGUUAGCGUUUGAGGCAAGUUUGGUAUAUUACAUAAAACACAACCUUGCAUCAAUAUUGUCCCCAGCUACCUAAAUAUAUACCCGUCUUUUUAUUGAUCAUUGCCUCAGGUCGGUGACGGACUCUUUAAUAUCCUUGGCAUAAUAAUUACCAUGAUCUCACCUGAUGAGCAAUGCUCAUAAUAAUUACCUAAGAGGACGGUGUCGUAUGUAUAUAGUUCAAGAGCCACUUUGCUCGCUAUCAAGAAAGACCACAUUAAUCCAGCGGGCAACAGCGCAGCAGUAUCAUGCCCCCGUAUAUGAUAUAAAAUUCUUUCACUUGAUUUGAUCAACACAAGCCCAUAUGAUCAUGUAACGAUACUGCCAAGACACCAGGCAUGGAAUUAUGAAACAUUAGGGUUGGAAAAAAGAGUGGAAAGCACAUAGCUAGCAAAAACAUUUGAUUGCUUGCAUUAACAAUAAACAUGCCACAUAUAUUGUGAAAUAUAUUGCAUAAAUAGCAAGCUGGUCAAAUUUGAGAGCAAAGGGUCUACAGCUUCAUGACAAGCACGUUCCUGAAAAGCCCCACGGGUGAAAAAUAAAAGAAACGAAGGGCCAACAUGAUUAAAUAACAAAAGAAAUGUAUAAAAGAAAGGAAAAGUAUAGCAUAAAUUAUAUUCAUUUGGUUCAGCAACGGGCAAUUGGCCAAGAUUGGCACAAUCUUCUUCUUCUUAUAAUUAAGAACUGGUGUCUUCUUAACACCCCAUCUCAGGAGAUGGGCAAGACAGACACAAGAUUACCAGGUUUCUGUCUAAACAGGAUCAGGCCUCGUGUUAGAGCCCGUCCACCACCUAUACAAGCCAAGCCUAAUCUGAAUUCUACUACAAAUGAUCAAAACAAUGAGAAUCCUGACAGUGUUGUUGGAGAUCAGGAGAAGCCUGGGAAUUCGGAGGGAAAACCUGUGGAGUUAAUCGGCAGGAAAAUCAUGAUAGUGGUUGAUUCGAGUAUUGAAGCUCAGGGAGCUUUACAAUGGGCACUAUCUCACACUGUUCAAAGCCAGGAUCUUCUUAUUCUUCUUCAUGUAACUAAAGAAUCUUCCAAGCAAGGUUGGUCUGCAUGUUAUUAUUUUUUUAAAAUCUUCUUCUUCGUGGGAUUGUUAGAUGUAUUUUUAGACAAUUAAACUGAGAAGGGCUUAACAUUUGACUGCAGCCACAGGGACAAAACCCCGCAAGGAGAGAGGAGCUCCAAGGGCCUGUGAACUUGUAAAUUCUGUGAAAAAUACGUGUCAGUUGAAGAGACCUGAGGUGGGUAUGAUUAAUUCAAUUUUUCUAGCUAUUUUUGUCUUGUUUAUAUAUUUAUAAAAUGGGGCGGACUGCAGAUACAAAUUGAGAUUGCAGUGGUGGAAGGAAAAGAGAAAGGUCCAUUGAUAGUGGAGGAGGCCAAGAAACAAGAGGUGGCACUUCUAGUUUUGGGGCAGAAAAAGAGGUCCAUGACAUGGCGGCUGAUCAUGAUGUGGGCAAGCAAUAGAGUCACCGGUGGUGUGGUGGAAUACUGUAUCCAAAAUGCUGAUUGCAUGGCAAUUGCUGUGAGGAGGAAAAGCCAAAAACAUGGAGGUUACUUGAUUACCACAAAGCGUCACAAAGAUUUCUGGCUUUUAGCUUAACCUAGCAUUUGCCUAAACAUGCAUGUAGCAUAUCAAUUUGAUGUUUCCCCUUUCAUACGUGGAGUUUUUGUUUUGUUACAUCGUUUGUAAAUCAAUGAUAAAUUCUACUCUGCUGCGAAAUUAUGAAAAAAGGAUGGAGAUUGGGGUGUGAAUUUAACUUGCGUCAUUAUUCAGGGCACCUGCUAUGAUGGCUAAGGGAGACGCAAUGGGGUCCCUCGAUUCCUUUGGAUCUCCUCCGUGUGCUACAGUAACCGGCUAAAGCACAUGGUUCCUGAGCUUUUUCGAUGAUGGUGAGGAUCAGUUAGUUAGGCCAUGGACCAUAGCUGGGGGCCUCGCCUUUAUCCACCUUCAACUGCCAUUGUUGUCACUUGAAGAUAAAAUACCAGUUACGCAUAUCCAAGUUCAUACCAUCGAAUUCGUAAUGCACCUUCAACGGGAACAACUGAUAAUAAAAUGGUUGACAAUGUAGGAUUAAUUUUCGCUGCACUCCCUCGAAGGUCCUGACUUUCUUAGAGAAGUCAACUAAUCAGAAUGAAAUGGCGUGGGUUUAAGCUAGCAAGGGUUUGAAUUCAUUCUGUUAAAGUAAUUAAGAUUACACACAAAAAGGAAACUAGAAUUCUGAAUAAUUUGUAUAUUAUAAAUGUAUAAUUUUAACCUAAAUACAAAUAAAAUAUAUAUAGAUUAAACUAAAAAUAUUAUUUUACCCUUAAUAAAUAGACUACAUAAAUAUUAUUUAACACAUUCAAGCCCAACAAUUUUCAGGAUGACAAUUGAGAAUUGUCAACUCUUAUGGCCAAGUGGGUUAACUUAAUAAUUUGGUGUGUUCGAGUCCUAUAUUGAGUUGAAUUUAUAAUUGAAUUGGACUUUUCAUGGACAAAACUCAACCGAUUCCGCUGGGUCAUAUAUAUUAAAAAAAAUACUGCAAAUGAAGAGAAAAAAUCAUAUCCGUGAAUCAAUCAUAUGAUGCGUUGGGAGUGUUAAACAUCGAGGCAACCUAGCUGAUUCGAAAGCUAUGCUCCAUGGGCCAACACUCGAUAACACAAGCUGGGUCAGGUGUUUGCUUUUUCUUCGGCAGUGCAUUGUGCACAGCUGGAGUCCCUCCACUGUUCUUUUCUUUUCUUUUCUUUCCCGAGGGUGAGAGCAAACAUGCCCUACAUUCCAGAAAGAAGAACUGAUUUACCCAGUUUGCCACGUGGAUUCGAGUGCAAAUAUCCACGAUACAUAAACUAAAGAAGGCCCCUUAUAGUGCCAGUCCUCUAUGGCAGAUGAUUUUUUUUAUGUCUUGUUUCUGAUCGGUGAAUUGACAACUACCGUAAAUAGGAACUCUAAGAGUUAAUUAUUAUUUUUCUAUAUAUAUAUAUAUAUAUAUAUAUAUAAAACGUCUCUUUCCCUGCUCUAAAAACAUUGGCCGGAUUCUUGUCCUUAUGUCUCAGGCCUUUGAAACCUUAAAUCUAACAUGGAUUGCAUGAACUCAGCUAAAAGGCCCAAUUCUGACCCCAUAGGGAUCCUGAUGUGGAAACAGAGCAUGAUGAAUUCAACUCAAACGCUUAGUGAUCAGGGAACAUAUUGUAGUUUUGGUGAUUUUCAAAGUGCGUUUAAAUUAAAAAAAAAAAAAAAAAAUAACGCUCAAUUUGUGUAGUAAAAUAAUUAAAAAAUCAAUUUAGUAUUUUUUUUUUAUAAACUAAAAGUAUAUUGAAGAGGCGUUUCUAGCUAUAUUACCGAAUACACACUCAUUUUUAUUUUCAGAUGCAUUUUGAUCUUGUAUAUUAUAUCAUGUUUUAAUAUAAGAUCUAAUAAGCAUUAGGUUAUACAAGUUCAUUGACCCUGGAUGAAACUAUUUUUUAAAAAAAAAUAAAAAAUGUCAAUAUUGCUUGAAUUUUAUUGAUAAUGAUGUUGUUUUGAUUAAAAAAAAUGAUAAAAAAACUCUAUAAAAACAAACAAGAACCAAUUAAUCCUACACAAAUCAAGAUGAAACAUGUCAUGAAAAUCAAUUAAAGAUGAACCAAAUGCUUAAAAAAAAACAGUAUUGCUUUUCUUAUUAAGAAAAAUAAGAUAAUAAUAUAUUUAAUCUAUCGGAUACUUUGCAACCUAAUACGCUAGACCUAUAAUUUGGUUCAUGGAAUCUAAUGGUUCGUUUUUAGUGCUGAACCCUGAAAUUGCCAUCAUAAGUUAAUUUAAUUUGUUGCUUAUAGAUGUAUGCCAAUCUCUAGAAUUCAUGUUAUUUAUUGCUUAAGUUGCUCCAAAACUAGUUGCUCCAAAUUUUCAGGAGAAGUAAGUAACAUUUUUCUUUCACCUGUUAUUGUCUUGUGCUGGUCUUAGUGUGGCAUGGAGGUAAACAUCUUUUGUAAUUUUGUUCCUGCAGUUUUGUGAAGGGUAGAGAUUAUGUUCAGGACCGUGAACAGGCUGAAAGGAGAAAGCUAAAGAAACUCCUAAGAAGAGAAGCUAAAGGGGCAGCUCGUGAAUUAUUUCUUAUUCAAGGUUGAAGAAAAUGAAAGGGCACUGCUGGAGGAUGAAUGAACAGAGAAUUAUGGAAAGGCGAGGGCUUUCCUCCAAGAACAAGAACACGCUUUCAAAUCUGGACAAUUAGGAAAGGGGAGGAAGAGAAGAAGGCGAACCUGAUUCUGGUGUUUGUUUUACUUGGAUGUUUAUUAUUUUCGUUAUAGUUGCAUCCUCAGAUAUCUAGUGGAAUUGGCUGGCUGUGGCUCAGAAGCCGGGGUCCCUAUAUAUAAAAGAAGCCAACCUGUUCCAUGUAAAAUUUUGGAUGUGCAAUAUUUGUAGUUUCUAACCAAGUUUUGAAAGAAAAUUUAGUUAGAAUUGGACUGUCCAAUCAGGAUUAAAAUUUCUGAAAUAUUCAGGAAUAACAAUUCAACAAAACAUAUUUUAUUUACGCCAUCUUUUUAGACUUGCUUUAUUGAUAUUCUACUUGUGCUUUCAUUGUUUUAGCACUGUUAGUAGGGCCAGAGCCUGGAAAAAAGGCUAUGCGCCAGAAGACCGAUCGCCGCCACUGCGCCAACCAGAGCAGCAAUUCGAGCUUCUUCGUUUCUUCCAGGCAUGUCUGGACCAUAAGCACCUGUUGCGGACCCUGUGGCUCUCUCUGUUUCACAAAUCUAUUUCGCCCUGGAGCUCCUGUUUCUGUUAUUCUCAGCCCCUGACUGUGGCCAAAUGAGAGUGGGGUUUAUAUAGUCAAUUUGUGAACUCGAGAGUCUUAUUGGAGAUGACCUGAAUUAUGGUCGAGUUUUCAUUGAAACAAGUGGGGAAAAUGAAUAUAGAAAAGGAAAAUAGUUUCGUAUCAGCCAACAAACUCCAAUACUCUCUAGAUUUUUUUCUCCCUUCUCUCCAGUUUUUGCUACUGGGUUAAUCUCUCAUUUUCAGUCUUCUAAUAAUCUUAAGAUUUGUUUUGAAUCGAAGAGAAUUCACUGUGUUUUCAUUUUCAAGUUUUUCAACAUGAGUGUAUGAUCUUUGAUAUCAUCAGAUUUUAGUUUGAUUCCAAUAAUGCAAUAUGGAUGUUGCUGAUUGGGAUGUCCAUUUGUUAUUUGUCCCUGUAUUUUUAGUAAAUUGAUACCAAGAUUUUAUAUUUUCUGGUUACAAAACUCAAACAAGCUUCUAGGAACAAAGAUUAAAGAUCGUUGUUAUUGCUGGUGAUGAUUUUAUUGUUUGAUUAAGGAAUAUAUGGCCAUUCUAUCUCCCUAUAUAAUUGAUAUUUCGUAGAGGAAAAAGAAACAACACCACUCAAAACCGUCGUCUAAAUCAAACCAUCGGUGGCCUUUCAAGGGAUUAACUGCAGCGUGUCUUCGUAACAGAAGCGUCUGCCUAGAAAAACACUCUGCCGCUAGCAUUCAUCAUUUUACCAAGUACAGUUUCAGUGCUUUUCGUUUCUUGCUUUUGACCCCUUGAUCGCUUUCAUUAUUUUCUAAAUCAACUAUAAGAGUUAGGUCAUCCCAGGCCAUUAAUUAUCCCUUCCCCAGAUUCUUCCUGAAAACACCCGAAUUUAGAAAUCAUACGUAGAGUUUUUUCUUUUCUGGUACACAACAAUUACACGCAGAGUUACAAGCAAGUGAUAAAAGCAUCGCUUGCUGUUAUAUAAUACAUAGCCUGGGGCACUCGAAAUUCCUGUUUACAGCAUCAUCAAAGUUUUAUUGGUAAUUAUAAAACACACAUCGAGAUAGGUAAGAACAUCGCAGCUUCCUAUCCUCUGAACAUUCCUGCUUUCUACUUGCGCAGGUCUUUGAAAUAGCUUUUUGGGUCUCGUUCAAAGUCAGCCCUGGGCAUGCGAUGAUCCCUUCCAGGAGCUUUCAUUGUCUUCCCAGGAUCAGGUUCUGGGCUUGAGAAGAGAGCACUGCCAAUACCCCAGGCCAAAAGAGCUGCUCCUGCCACAGCACCAAUAGCAGCGGCUAUUCCAGUUCCAUUGAUGCCUUCAUCUUCUGUUUCAGUCUUAGAACUUGCUGCACCUUUACCGCUAUUCAUUGCUCUGCAAAAGUUGAUUCUGUCCCUAUGUUUCUUUGAUUUCUA
rnacentral:lncRNA from 1 species